GAAACGCUGGCGGCGUGCUACACAUGCAAGUCAAGGAGAAGUCUGCUUCGGUAGACAAGUAAACUGGCGAACGGGUGAGUAACGCGUAGAUAACUUGCCCAAAGGACUGGGAUAACUUCGAGAAAUCGGGACUAAUACCGGAUAUGGCAAACAGUCAUAAGGUUGUUUGUGAAAGAGGGUUUCGGCUCUCACCUUUGGAUGGGUCUGCGUCUGAUUAGUUAGUUGGUGGGGUAACGGCCUACCAAGGCAACGAUCAGUAGCUGGUCUGAGAGGAUGAUCAGCCACAUUGGGACUGAGAUACGGCCCAGACUCCUACGGGAGGCAGCAGUGGGGAAUUUUGCGCAAUGGGGGAAACCCUGACGCAGCAACGCCGCGUGGUCGACGACGCUUCUAGGAGUGUAAAGACCUGUCGUUGGGGAAGAACUGGACAGUGAGUAACUGCUCUGUCUGUGACUGUACCCUUCAAGAAAGCUCCGGCUAACUCCGUGCCAGCAGCCGCGGUAAUACGGGGGGAGCAAGCGUUAUCCGGAAUCACUGGGCGUAAAGGGCGCGUAGGCGGAUGGUUAAGUCAAAUCUGAAAGUUAACAGCUUAACUGUUAAAGUGGGUUUGAUACUGGUUAUCUUGAGUGCGAGAGAGGAAAGCGGAAUUCCUGGUGUAGCGGUGAAAUGCGUAGAUAUCACGAGGAACACCGGUGGCGAAAGCGGCUUUCUGGCUCGUAACUGACGCUGAGCGCGAAAGCGUG
rnacentral:rRNA from 1 species